UGGACAGCCUCAGAAAGGCACCCCGGUUGGAACUUGGUUCACUGUAGACGAAAAUUGUGUCGUGAACGUUCGGUCACUGGGUGUCUUCGCCAAGCUGGGACUCUUUGGUUGUCGAGAAGUUAGUGAAAUUGAGAGGUAGAAAAAGAAAAACUGUGAUUAAUGAAUUAUUGUUGCUAUCUUACAAACAAAUACACACCGUCUAGCCUGACAAAAUAAAAGAUGGUUAAUGAGAUACAACGAAGUGAUUUGUUCAUUCACCUUAGCUGGGAAGUAUCUGGCUGGUGAUGAUGAGAUCCUUAGAAUGCUGAGGAAACUACACAAACUACAAUCAUGAAUGGAUGUUCAAACUGCUAUUCGUUAAUUAAUUUGCUGUUAUUGUCUGGAAACUCCGAAUACUCAUCGUUCAUGAUUAUGUGCAGCGAUUGUUGCUGUGCUGUCUUCCGGAAACUAGUCAUGGAACAUGACAGAUCGUUGAGGUGCUGUUGUCUGGAAACUAACCGUUAGGAAGUCAUGCAGAAUUCGUUGCAGUGCUGUCUUCCGGAAACUCCUCGUGGAACAAAUCCUGCACCCAAGAUGUCCUGCGGAAACUCCUCAUAAAACAUAUCAUGUACUCAAGAUGUCCUGCUGAACUCUGUGCUGUUGACUGGAAACUUAGGAGGGCAUGCAGAGAUCGUUCAGGUGCUGUCGUCUGGAAACAAAUCGUUUAGGAAGGCAUGCGGAGUUGGUUGCUGUGUUGUCUUCCGGAAACUCCUUGUAGAACAUAUCCUAUACUCAAAAUGUACUGCAGAUAUCUGUGCUUUUGUCUGGAAACUCAUCGUUUAGAUGGGCCUCCAGAGUUUGUUGUGGUGCUGUUGUCUGGAAAGUAACAUUGAGGACGGUGCUGGCUUCAGGAUACUCCUCGUGGAACAUAUUCUGUACUCAAAAUGUCCUGUAGAACUUGAUGUGCUAUUGUCUGGAAACUCAUCAUUUAGGAGGGCAUCAGGACAUCCAGAGUUUAUUGCGGUGGUGUCUUCCGGAAAUUCCUCGUGGAACGUAUCCUGUAAUAGUCUUCCGGAUAUUCCUCGUGGAACAUAUCCUAUACCAAAGAUGCUCUACAGAAGUCUGUGCUUUUGUCUAGCAACCCAUUGUUUAGGAGGGCAUGCUGAAUUGGUUGCAGUGCUUUCUCCCGGAAACUCCUUGUGGAACACAUCCUGUACUCAAGAUGUCUUGCAGAAUUAUGUGCUGUUGAUUGGGAACUCAUCAUUUAGGAGCACAUACAUAGUUUAUUGCAGUGCUGUCUUCGGAAACUCCUCGUGGAACAUCCUGUACACAAGAUAUCCUGCAGAACUUUUAUGUGCAGAGACAGUUGCGGUGCUGUCCUCCGUUAACUCCUCGUGCAACAUAUCUUGCAUCUAAGAUGUCCUGCAGAUGUGCUGUCAUCUGGAAAUUCAGCGUUUAGGAGGGCAUGCAAAGUUAGUAGCGGUGCUAUCUUCCGGGAACUCUUCGUGGAACAUUUCUUGUAUAACUAUGUGCUCUCGUCUGUUAACUAAUCGCUUAAGUCAUGCAUAGUUUGUUGCAGUGCUGUCUUCCGAAAAUUCCUCGUGGAACAUAUCCUGUACUCAAGAUGUCCUGCAGAACUGUGCUUUUGUCUAGCAACCCAUCGUUAGGUGAGCUUGCAGAAUUGGUUGCAGUGCUUCCUCCUGAAAACUCCUUGUGGAACAUAUCUUCUUUACUGUGCUGUCUAGUCUGGGAACUCUUCAUGCAACACAAUCCUUCAUAUGGUAUUCAUGCAACACACUCCUGCAUAUGGUAUUCCCACUUUAGUACAUUUGUGCCAUACAAUUCCACGGAUUUUUAUAUGAAAAUUAGAUAAAUUUACAGUUUUGUACUUAGGCGCUUUAUAUAAAAAUGGGUGAUUAAACAACGAUAAUAGUAUGAUGAGAAAGGUAUUAGAAUACCAUACUACCAUCAAUCUCUCUAAGCAUGCAAACAGGGAAAAAUUCUUCCACAAUGAGACACCCCCUCCCGGGAGUUUUACACACAAUGAAUUGCAGUAAGUAAUUGCAAAAAAUCUGUUCCUUUUUAAUAUAUAAUUAUAAGUUCACCUCUCUCCACCCUUUUUUUUUCCCACCUCUCCAUUCAUUCCACCCUUAUAUACACGAGCAGCUUUCGAAACUCUAAAGCCAUCAUCUGCUGCAAAUUUUAUAGGUUUAACAGCUGAUCAAUACUGAUUUAUAAAAUAUUAUACACAAAAGUGAUCAGUCACGAAAAAAAAAACCACAUUAGUUUAAAAAUUAACAAUAAACACAAUCAACGAC